rnacentral:lncRNA from 1 species
UUUUUUUUUUUUUUUUUUGGUUAAACUGUAUCAUUAUCUGCAUGUGAUUUUUUUUGUAUUGUUCUGUUUGACAUUAAAUAAUUGCUUGAUAGUUAAUGCCCAUGACAAACAGCAAGAAAUAAUCACUAAAUAUAAAGAGUCACUUAGGAGAUUCAAAGUAAAAAUAAAUCUUAUAUGAGAAGGAGAGAAAAAUAUUCAAUUAUUAAGAUUUUAAAAUUUACUAACUAUGUCAAAUAUACCCCGUGGAAUAACACAAUGUGAUCUCUUCAUUCUAGAAGGCUACAAUUUCUAAUAGGAAAGAUGGUCCAUCAAUUAAAGAAGCUAUAAACAUAUGGGAAGUUUUCUUAAGAAAUUGAUACAUAAGGAGAAAUAGAAAAAUAACUAUAUUAACCAAUAAGGUUAAGAAAAAGCCCCAAAGCUGAGGAAAUGAAAUAAAUCAGUAGUAAGUAUUCUUAUUGUUGGUUUUAUAUGAAAGUGUUAAUGGGUCAGAGAUCUUUGUGCUUCCUUAAAUAAGACACAAGUAGUAACCUACAAGUCUAUUCUCUUCUCUCUUCUAGAAAACGCCAAAAUACUGGUCAUUGAGUGUCUUAGUCAGGGUUCCUAUUCCUGGACAAAACAUCAUGACCAAGAAGCAAGUUGGGGAGGAAGGGGUUUAUUCAGCUUACACUUCCACAUUGCUGUUCAUCACCAAAGGAAGUCAGGACUGGAACACAGCAGGUCAGGAGGCAGGAGCUGAGGCAGAAGCCAUGGAGGGAUGUUCUUUACUGGCUCGCUUUCCCUGGCUUGCUCAGCCUGCUCUCUUAUAGAACCCAAGACUACCAGCCCAGAGAUGGUCCCACCCACAAGGGCCUCUUCCUUCUUGAUCACUAAUUGAGAAAAUGCUCCACAGCUGGAUCUCAUGGAGGCACCUCCCCAACUGAAACUCCUUUCUCUGUAAUAACUACAGCCUAUGCCAAGUUGACACAAAACUAGCCAAUACAAUUGACCCCUUGUCAACUUGACAAACACAUCACUAGUAAACCUCAACCCUUAGUUCUUAGACAUCCCCAAGAUCUAAAUAUCUUUAAAAGUCACACAGUCUUUACAUAUUAAAAAUUCAAUCCUUUUAAAAUUUCCAAAGUCUUUUAAAAUCCAAAGUCUUUUUACAAUUAAAUUUUCCUUAACUGUGGGAGCCACUAAAAUAUUUUCUUCCUUCAAGAGGGAAAAAUAUCAGGGUACAGUCACAAUCAAAAGCAAAAAUUAAACUCCAACUGUCCAAUGUCUGGGAUCCAACUCAUGAUCUUCUGGGCUUCUCCAAGGGCUUGGGUCAGUUCUCCAGCCAUGCUCUUUGUAGCAUACACAUUGUCAUCUAGGCUCCAGUUGCCUGUACUCUACUGCUGCUGCUGUUCUUGAUGGUCACCUCAUGGUACUGGCAUCUCCAAAAUGCUGCUGUCUUCCACUGUAACUAGGCUACACCAAUAGCCUCUCAUAGGCUCUCUUCAUGGUGCCAAGCCUCAAAUCCUUUGCAUGACCCCUUUCAGUCCUGGGCUGUCAAUUGCAACUGAGGCUGCACCUUUACCAAUGGCCUUCCAUGGCCUCUCACAGUGCCGAGCCUCAGCUGCUCUGUGUGACUCCUUCAUGCCUUCAAAACCAGUAGCACCUGGGUAACUCUUACACAUUAGCAAGUCCAGCCACAGCACAAGGUACAACCUUGGCUAUCUCUGGAACACAGCCUCUGUUCUCUCAGAAAACACUUCCCAUAAGAUGUCACCUCAGUGACGCUGGUCUCUUCUUAAUCACCACUAAUUUCUUAGCUCCAGCUAAACAGCAUCAAUAGUCCCAGUAAUGAAAAGGUUUUGCUUUAGUAGUUCUGGUAUCUUGUUAAUCACAGCUGAUUCUUCAGCCCCAGCUAACCAGAACCACAGAAUCUUCACAAUCAAAAUAGCAAUGGCCCUGAUAAGAAUCUUUAAUUUUCCCUCUGAAAUUUCACAAGCCAGGCCUCCAUUUUCUGCAUUGUUCUCAACAUUAUCUUCCAAGCUCCUACACAAAAUCCUACAGAGUUCUUAACAAUGAAUGGAUCUUCUGGCCCAAAGUUCCAAAGUCCUUCCACAAUCCUCCCCAAAACAUGGUCAGGUUGUCACAGGAAUACCCCACUCUGCUGGUACCAAUUUGUCUUAGUCAGGGUUCCUAUUCCUGGACAAAACAUCAUGGCCAAGAAGCAAGUUGGGGGAGGAAAGUGUUUAUUCAGUUUACACUCCAUGUUGUUGUUCAUCACCAAAAGAAGUUAGGACUGGAACUCAAGCAGGUCCGGAAGUAGGAGCUGAUGCAGAGCCCAUGGGGGUGUUUCUUACUGGCUUGCUUUCCCUGGCUUGCUCAGCCUGCUCUCUUAUAGAACCCAAGACUACCAGCCCAGAGAUGGUCCCACCCACAAGGGGUCCUUCCCCCUUGAUCACUAAUUGAGACAAUGUCCUACAGUUGGAUCUCAUGGAGGCAUCUCCCCAACUGAAGCUCCUUUCUCUGUGAUAACUACAUCCUGUGUCAAGUUGACACAAAACUAGCCAGUACAAUGAGUUACCUGGAAAUAUAGAUAGACCCUGUGCCUUCUUAAAGCCUGGGUAGUUCACCUCUAAAACUUACAGAGGUCAACAGUUAAUCUCUAAAUAUAUUUUAUGCAUUGAUCUUCUUUUAUGUGGGUCAUCUCUCAGCACAUAUCUAAGAAAGUAUAAUAUUUCUCACAGUGUAUAAAUUACAUGACAAAACUAGACCAGAUUAAUUUACACAAUCAUCUAGGAAAGUAUAUAUCAAUCUGUGUUAUGGUCUAACAUUUUUUUAUGAAUUUGGGAAUAUCAGUGAUGAAAGUUGUUUUGAAAUGAUGGGAAAAACUCUCUCCAAGAAGUUGCAUACAACCUCAGAUUCGCAUUACAUAUUAAAAUAAGUAAAGCAAAGAAUUGUUGACAAUAGAGAAAGAAGAAGGAAAGAGCUGCUGUUUGCAGAAUGGGGCUGAAUUCAUACUGAGGAACAAAGUAACAAGGCCAUAGUUUGGGAUGUUGACUAUGAUUUGAUAGUUGAUAUGGAGUCAGUGGUAGUUCUUGGGUGGUCAACAACCGAGAACCUUUAGAAUAUGUGGAAUCUAUUGUUCUAUGAUCUGGUAAACAUAGUUUAAGUUGUACAGGAGUCCUUAAUGAACCAUUUAAGUGAUAACUAGUUAUAUAUCCAUUCUUCUAAGACUCUGCAAGUGAAUGGAUAGAACUAGAGUGAUUAACAAAGGCUAGGAAUCAGAAUUUGCCUUUUGUACAACUAAGUGUGUUCUAACACUUCAGAAAUAAUGAAUAAGGAGGUAGGUACAAAUCCACAUGGUUAAACAGAAUGUCACUAAUGAGGUCUACACAUUCCUUCAGGAAAAUAAAAUAUAAUGUAGGACUUUGAAAUUAUUUAUUAAUAAGUAAAAAGAGCGAUUACAAAUGUUAGGACCUUAAGGCCUUGGUCAAACUGAAGACUUUACAAUGGCAGGGAAAGUAAUGAUAACAAUGCUGUCUAUGUAAGCACACCUGACAGUACCUUGGAAAGAGUAUAAAAGUCUUACCCUGUAAGCUAUGCUUUCUUUCAGUAACUGGAUGUUCAAGACUUUGUAUAGUAUUCUAACAGGGAAUAGAGAGGCCAGAAAAGAAAGUGGUGGGG